UGGUAUUCUGGAUUAGUUUCUGGAAUAGAUAAGUAUAUCAUUAUUAGAAAACCUGGUAAAAUAUGAAGGAAGUUUGUAGAUCAGUUAAUAGUCUUGAAAAACCGUUAAAUUCUUAGUUUUCAUGAAUAUGCUAUGGUUAUAAUAGAUAUUAACAUUCUAGUUAGCUGAAUGGUACAGGAAACUGUCUGUACUUACCUAUGUGCAUUUCUGUAAAUCUGCAGUUAUUUCAAAAUAAAUGUUUUUUAAUAUUAUUAUUUUGUUUUUUUAAAAAAAGUAAGCAAGUAAAGACAUCAGCAAAAAACUUUUGCCUCCAGAUACAAGUGGACAUGUAGGGAGAGAAUAGUAAACUAGCUUUUCUUUUCUAGGCAACAUUCAAAACCCAGGCACCACUGCUUCAGGAAGGUACCAUCAAGCUCCAAGGACUCUUAUCCUCUUUCUCCUUCCCCACUACCUAGUCAUUAGAGCGUCAGCAUCCACUUUUUGAAAGGAAGAUGCCUGUUUUUCACAUGUCCCAGAAAGCCCCAUUUUAGGACACCAUUUAGCAGAGUAUAUUCAGGACCCCACUAACCUUUUCGGAAGACAUGACUUCCAGACGAUAUAACACAAGAAUAAGAAAUUUCAGUGACAGGGAACAUAAAUCAUAUUUCUGCAUUCAGGAUCAUGUUUUCUUGAUACAGGGAUUUCUUCUUCAAGUAAUCCAAAGACAACUUUACCUUCAAACCUUUCAGAAAACCUGUUCUAAUUUAGUUCUCUUUAUUCUACAGGCUCCAUCGGGAAUUGUUCAGGGCCGUGCACUCUGCUGAUACUCACAUGGUGGAAUUAUAUUGCCCUUGACCAACCCUAAAGCCAUGAAGAUAGCAGGCAGUCGCCCAACACCACUACCCACUUUAUGUAUUUAGUAUCUUUGACAACAGCCAAUGUUGUUGAAAACCUGGAGAGGCAGCCCUGGCUGUCUCCUGCCCUGCUGUAGAUGAUCCUGUGAACAGAGCCCCACCUCCAGACCACGCCCAACAAAGUUAGUGAAGAAUUGCUAUUGAUAUUUUAAAGUUUUGGAAUAAUCCACUGUUCAAGUCUUCUUGAGCUGAGCAGUCGUGUGAGCUUGGAAGAUGAUCCCUCUCCAGCUGAUCCUUCAGGUCAGACGUCAGCCUUGGCCGUCAUCUACAUCUGGAUUCCUGACCCAGAGAAACUAAUUAAUGAAGGAUCAUUAUUAAGUUUUUAAUGAGUCAAGAGAAAGUUACCACAGAAGUCUUCUCUACCUGGGCAACAAUUGACUCCUAACAACCACUGUAAGCUUGGAAGAUGAUCCCUCCCCAGCUGAUCCUUCAGGGGGCUUCCGAGGCGAUCGGGCAGCAUCAGUCUUCAGCCGCUAAAUUGAGAAGAUCUGGGAAGGAGUCAGUCAGGAGAGCGUUGGGCCACAGUUCCAGGGGCUCUGAGAGUGGCUGCCAGGUGAGUUAAACAGUCCGAUUUUCAGUGGGGUCCCGCAUAGAUGGGACAUGGCUUAGGAGGAAUCCUGGGUGGUGGGCAUUCCUUGGCUCAGUGGCCAGAUUUCUGGCACUUGUAGCAAGCUCCUGGGGGACGAGGUUCUGGAGGAACGUCUGGCCACUGUGGUUGAGGCGUUUGGAAGUUCUUGUGUGCUUGAGAUGUGGCUGGGGUUUGUUUCACAGUGGAGGCAAGGAAUUGCAACUUUUUUCUAUUGUUGUACACCUUGAAGGGGAGGUUAAUUAAGUCCUGUUGUGGGGUUUGAGGGCCGGAAUUUAAUUUUUGGAGCUUUAUUUAAAGUCGGGAGCAGAUUGGGUAAUGUAUAUUGAGAAUAAGAUGGCCUUUUGACUUUUUAGGGUCUAGGGCUGUAAAGUGUCUCAGGGUUGCUGCCAAAUGAGCCAUGAACUGGGCUGGGUUUUUCGUAUUUGAUGAAAAAGAGCCUAAACGCUAAUUGAUUUGGGAGAGGUCUGAUAAAGAAAAAGGAGCAUUAACCUUGACUAUGCCUUUAGCUCCAGCCACCUUUUUAAGAGGAAUUUCUUGGGCAGGUGGGGGAGGGCUAGUCACAGAACAAAAUUGUAAGCAGAACCAGGUGUGAGGAGGGGAGGUAAUAAAAGGAUUAUAGGGUGGAAGAGAGGAGGCUGAGGAAGAAUUGGGACCUAGCUCAGCCUAGCAAGGAGCAGCCUGGGGAGCAGGGGAGAGGUCAGAUGGGUCUGUAGAAAAGGAAGUUUAGAAAGACCCAGCAAUGCUUGGGGUUGGGACUGAGGGGACAGGUGAGAGGAAAAGAAGGAGGAUUUGGGAUGAGUCACAUUGGAAACAGACUGGGGAGGGAACAAUGUGUAAAAGAAUGCCUGGACGUCAGGCACCUCAGACUGUUUGCCUAUUUUACAACAAGAAUUAUUUAGAUCUUGUAGGAUGGAAAAAUUGAAAGUGCCAUUUUCUGGCUAUUUGGAACCACUGUCGAGUUUGUAUUGGGGUCAAGCGGCAUUGCAGAAGAAAAGGUGUUUAGAUUUUAGGUCAGGUGUGAGUUGAAGAGGUAUUAAGUCUUUGAGAACACAGGCUAAGGGAGAAGGACGAAUGGAGGGUGGAAGGUUGCCUAUAGUGAAGGAGGCAAGUCCAGAGAAAAGAGAGGGUAGAGACAUGGAGAGAAGGGAUGGGGGGUGCUUGACCCCCAGGAAACUGGAGAAGGGGUAGAGACAUGGAGAGAAGAGGUUGGGGGUUUGUUUCCCCCCAGAAAAGCAGUACUUGCCACUAAGGGUGACAGGACCAAGGCAGGCAUCCCCAUAUGGUCAGACACCUCUGAAACGUGGGUGAAUAAUCAGACAGGUGUCCCCACAUGAUUAAACACCAAGGGAAGACUGUCUUCCCAAGUCCGUGACCAGCACCGGAGUUUUGGGUCCACGGAUAAAACACGUCUCCUUCGUCUCUACCAGAAAAGGAAAGGAACUGAAAUUAAGAGAAGGGAGAGAUUGAAGUAUGGUGCCAAGAUUCAAAGGUGAAAGAGGUUGAGGGAUAGUGACAGAGGUUGGAGAAGAGAGUAAAAAAGGCUGUUUACCAGAUUUAAAAAUGGGGAGAUGUUCCUUGGGCUGGUUGGUCUGAGGACCAGAGGUUGUAGGUGGAUCUUUCUCACGGAACAAAGAGCAGGAGGACAGGGGAUUGAUCUCCCAAGGGAGGUCCCCCGAUCCAAGUCACAGCACCAAUUUCACUCGCGUCUGUGCGAAGAGACCACCAAACAGGCUCUCUGUGAGCAACAAGACUGUUUAUUUCACCUGGGUGCAGGCGGGCCGAGUCUGAAAAGAGAGUCAGCAAAGGGAGAUAGGGGUGAGGCCCUUUUAUAAGAUUUGGGUAGGUAAAGGAAAAAGGGGGGUUGUUCUCUGGUGGGCAUGGGUGGGGGUCACAAGGUGCUCAGCGGGAGAGUUUUCGAGCCAGGAUGAGCCAGGAGAAGGAAUUUCACAAGGUAAUGUCAUCAGUUAAGGCAGGAACAGGCCAUUUUCACUUCUUUUGUGGUGGAAUGUCAUCAGUUAA